CAGCAUUUUAAACGGGGUGUUGAUGAACUUGAAUGAGUAAGGGAGAGCCACCAGAAGCAAGGGGAAUUAAAACAAUGGCACUCAGGAGGGCUACAGGUCAGCACAGAUGCAAAAUCUCACAUAGCAUAUUUGUGGCAAAUAGAAAGCCCAGGAAUCCAAGGACACACCAGCAAGAGAGAGAACGUGGCUUUCAUUGGAAACUCCGACUGGACGAUGAAAUGAAGAAAAC